GGAGAGAUGGCUGAGGGGCCGAUAGCGGCAGAUUGCUAAUCUGUUAAGGUAAUUUUUUGCCUUCACGAGUUCGAAUCUCGUUCUCUCCG
rnacentral:tRNA from 1 species